AGGAGCCGUGCGAGAUGAAAGUCUCAUGCAUGGUUUUGAAUGAGAGAAAUAAGUGAGGAAUCCUCUUUUAUAAUCUAACUCUCC
rfam:Gossypium hirsutum cultivar TM-1 chromosome 6, whole genome shotgun sequence